ACGCUCUUACGAUCUGAGAAAUUGGACGAAAGUUAUUAUGAUCAUCAGCCGAACCUUUACGUUUAAAGAGAGGUAUGACUUUCGCAGUUUUAUACACUGAAGGAAAAAUGCAGGAUGAAAUUGAGUAGUUUAUUAGUUUAGUUAAAGGUAAGCUAAUGUUGUGUUUAAUUGCCUUGAUUAUUUUUGUGUUCAUUCCAUCCGGGUCCUUGCUCUGGCUAUUUUUUAAUUCUUCAAUUGCUUUUACAACUUCCUCCAAAUUUGUUGGCUCAAAUCUGAAGGAGCAAUGAUUAGAGGCGAAUGAAGGAGCAUGUGGUAUAAAACUAAGGUAUGUAUUGAAUGAUUGGUCAGUAUGAUUAAGUGUAUUUAUUACAUUUUCAGUAAUACCACAGAAGAAAUCAUUAAAACUAUUUGCAUUGAGUGAUGAAUUUUUUAUUGGUAAAUUCUUACAUCUUGAGUUUAUUAGGGACCACAUAGCC
rnacentral:lncRNA from 1 species